rnacentral:tRNA from 1 species
GGAGUGGUGGCCGAGCUGGCCGAAGGCGCUCCCCUGCUAAGGGAGUAUACUGGAAACAGUAUCGAGGGUUCGAAUCCCUCCCCCUCCGCCA